AAACAAAUUUAGUUUUUUUUUUUUUUUGCUGCUGCUGCUACGCACAGCAGCGACGCCAGCGUUGACGUCUAUCCUCUCGGCAUCAGCAUCAGCAGCAGCUGCUCUGCUGGCUGUGUGGUUUUGUUGUUGUUGCUGCUGCUGCUGUUAAAGGCGGCAGAGCAAGCGCAACAGGAGCAGCCGCGCCGCGCCGAUCACUGUGCAAGAAUUAGAAGCAGCACAGGCAGGCGCAGAGGCAGAGGCGGCCGAAGACCAAGCAAAAGAUCGUUGUGGGAACUCGGCAAUAUAUAAAUAAUUUUAUAUAUAUAUAUAAAGGCACACGGCAUUAACAGUAACAACAAUAACGCAACAAGUCAACAAGUUGCAGACGUGGCUAAUUGCAACUUCUGUUUCCGUCUCGCCAUUUGCAGGGCCCAAAAUUAAUGGUAAUUUCAUGCUGUCAUUGCGCAAAAAUCAACACGGCCCCCGAAGCGCCAGCAGAACAGAGCACAAAGUCAUCGCCAUCAAUGACCCCAACUAGCUGGUAAAUGCAAAGAAAACAGCAGCAACAGACGUCUUCUGUGAACAAUCGGCAUCUGUGAAGUGCAAUUGUAAG
rnacentral:sRNA from 1 species